rnacentral:rRNA from 1 species
GAUGAACGCUAGCUACAGGCUUAACACAUGCAAGUCGAGGGGCAGCAUGGUCUUAGCUUGCUAAGGCCGAUGGCGACCGGCGCACGGGUGAGUAACACGUAUCCAACCUGCCGUCUACUCUUGGACAGCCUUCUGAAAGGAAGAUUAAUAUCCGAUAGCAUAUAUUUCCCGCAUGGGUUUUAUAUUAAAGAAAUUCGGUAUGAGAUGGGGAUGCGUUCCAUUAGUUUGUUGGCGGGGUAACGGCCCACCAAGGCGACGAUCAGUAGGGGUUCUGAGAGGAAGGUCCCCCACAUUGGAACUGAGACACGGUCCAAAACUCCUACGGGAGGCAGCAGUGAGGAAUAUUGGUCAAUGGACGAGAGUCUGAACCAGCCAAGUAGCGUGCAGGAUGACGGCCCUAUGGGGUUGUAAAAC